GAUGAACGCUGGCGGCAUGCCUAAUACAUGCAAGUCGUACGAGUGGCGAACGGGUGAGUAACACGUAGAUAACCUGCCCAUACCCGGGGGAUACGCUUUGGAAACGAAGUCUAAAACCCCAUCGGGAUGGAUGGAUCUGCGGUGCAUUAGCUAGUUGGUGAGGCAAAAGCUUACCAAGGCGAUGAUGCAUAGCCGGCCUGAGAGGGCGAUCGGCCACACUGGGACUGAGACACGGCCCAGACUCCUACGGGAGGCAGCAGUAGGGAAUUUUCGUCAAUGGGCGCAAGCCUGAACGAGCAAUGCCGCGUGAGUGAGGAAGGCCUUCGGGUCGUAAAGCUCUGUUGCGAGGGAAAUGGUACCUCGCCAGAAAGUCACGGCUAACUACGUGCCAGCAGCCGCGGUAAUACGUAGGUGGCAAGCGUUAUCCGGAAUGAUUGGGCGUAAAGGGUGCGCAGGCGGCAUAUCAAGUCUGUAGUGAAAGGUACGGGCUCAACCUGUACAGGCUUUGGAAACUGGUAUGCUCGAGGACAGGAGAGGGCGGUGGAACUCCACGUGUAGCGGUAAAAUGCGUAGAGAUGUGGAAGAACACCAGUGGCGAAGGCGGCCGCCUGGCCUGUAACUGACGCUCAGGCACGAAAGCGUGGGGAGCAAAUAGGAUUAGAUACCCUAGUAGUCCACGCCCUAAACGAUGAGGAGCAGGUGUCGGGCGGUGCCGAAGCUAACGCAAUGACUCCUCCGCCUGGGGAGUAUGCACGCAAGUGUGCAACUCAAAGGAAUUGACGGA
rnacentral:rRNA from 1 species